UACGUAGGGUGCGAGCGUUAAUCGGAAUUACUGGGCGUAAAGCGUGCGUAGGCGGUUCUCCAAGUCCGUUGUGAAAUCCCCGGGCUUAACCUGGGAAUGGCCUAUGUGACUGGCAGGCUAGAGGAUGGCAGAGGGAGGCGGAAUGCCACGUGUAGCAGUGAAAUGCGUAGAUAUCUGGAAGAACACCUAAGGCGAAGGCAAUGUUCUGGCUCGUUUCUGACGCUCAGGUGCGAAAGCCAGGGGAGCGAACGGG
rnacentral:rRNA from 1 species